rnacentral:rRNA from 1 species
CCGAACGGGUGGAGUAACACGUAUGCAACCUGCCUGCCACAGCCGGAUAAUCGGGAGAAAUUCCGUCUAAUACGGCAUAAUGCAUCGACGGGACAUCCUGUUGGUGCCAAAGGUUAAUUCCGGUGGCGGAUGGGCAUGCGUCGCAUUAGUUAGUUGGCGGUGUAACGGACCACCAAGACGACGAUGCGUAGGGGUUCUGAGAGGAAGGUCCCCCACACUGGUACUGAGACACGGACCAGACUCCUACGGGAGGCAGCAG